AAGAAGGGAAAGGAAGAAAGUUCAACCAUCAAACACUAUUGUGAUCUUGAAGAAACAAGCAUGGGAAAUUUGGAGACGUAAAAGGAAAAAAAAAAUUUCACCUCAACAUUUUGAUUCUUUCAUUUUGGUUAUUUUCUGCUGCAAUAUAUGGUUAUUUUCUGGAUAUGGAGGCAUAUUUUUACAAUCAAUAUAGCAAGGAAAUUACUCAUAUAUGGGCAUUUGUUCAUCUCCCAAUUCAAGAUUU
rnacentral:misc_RNA from 1 species